UACGAAGGGGGCUAGCGUUGUUCGGAAUUACUGGGCGUAAAGCGCGCGCAGGCGGUUCUUCAAGUCAGUGGUGAAAGCCCGGAGCUCAACUCCAGAACUGCCUUUGAUACUGAGGAUCUUGAGUUCGGGAGAGGUGAGUGGAACUGCGAGUGUAGAGGUGAAAUUCGUAGAUAUUCGCAAGAACACCAGUGGCGAAGGCGGCUCACUGGCCCGAUACUGACGCUGAGGCACGAAAGCGUGGGGAGCAAACAGG
rnacentral:rRNA from 1 species